GGGACCAACGAUGAUGUUUGGUAGAGGAUGAGGCAUGGCCAAGGAACUAUAAGUAUCUGGAAUCCUGAGGUCCAA
ensembl:snoRNA small nucleolar RNA SNORD113/SNORD114 family